rnacentral:rRNA from 1 species
GACAGAGGCCUCAAGCGUUAGGCGGAAUCACUGGGCUUAAAGCGUGUGUAGGCGGAUCGUUAAGUGCCUUGUGAAAUCCCACGGCUUAACCGUGGAACUGCUUGGCAUACUGGCGGUCUUGAGCAACCUAGGGGCAAGCGGAACAAAUGGUGGAGCGGUGAAAUGCGUAGAUAUCGUGAGGAAGACCAGUGGCGAAGGCGGGUCUCUGGACAGUUCCUGACACUGAGGCACGAAGGCCAGGGGAGCAAACGGG